rnacentral:rRNA from 1 species
CAGCAGCCGCGGGAAUACGUAGGUGGCAAGCGUUGUCCGGAAUUAUUGGGCGUAAAGCGCGCGCAGGUGGUUUAAUAAGUCUGAUGUGAAAGCCCACGGCUCAACCGUGGAGGGUCAUUGGAAACUGUUAAACUUGAGUGCAGGAGAGAAAAGUGGAAUUCCUAGUGUAGCGGUGAAAUGCGUAGAGAUUAGGAGGAACACAGUGGCGAAGGCGGCUUUUUGGCCUGUAACUGACACUGAGGCGCGAAAGCGUGGGGAGCAAACAGGAUUAGAUACCCGCGUAGUCCCUGUCUCUUAUACA